UGUAUGGUUAAGUGACUAAGCGUACACGGUGGAUGCCUGGGCAGUCAGAGGCGAUGAAGGACGUACUAACUUGCGAUAAGCGCAGAUAAGGCAGUAAGAGCCGUUUGAGUCUGCGAUUUCCGAAUGGGGAAACCCAACUGCAUAAGCAGUUACUGUUAACUGAAUACAUAGGUUAACAGAGCAAACCGGGGGAACUGAAACAUCUAAGUACCCCGAGGAGAAGAAAUCAACCGAGAUUCCGGUAGUAGCGGCGAGCGAACCUGGAUUAGCCCUUAAGCACUCGGUGAAGUAGGUGAACAAGCUGGAAAGCUUGGCGAUACAGGGUGAUAGCCCCGUAACCGACGCUUCAUCGAGCGUGAAAUCGAGUAGGGCGGGACACGUGAUAUCCUGUCUGAAUAUGGGGGGACCAUCCUCCAAGGCUAAAUACUCCUGACUGACCGAUAGUGAACCAGUACCGUGAGGGAAAGGCGAAAAGAACCCCUGUGAGGGGAGUGAAAUAGAACCUGAAACCGUGUACGUACAAGCAGUAGGAGCACCUUCGUGGUGUGACUGCGUACCUUUUGUAUAAUGGGUCAGCGACUUAUAUUCAGUGGCAAGGUUAACCGUAUAGGGGAGCCGUAGCGAAAGCGAGUCUUAACUGGGCGCUCAGUCUCUGGAUAUAGACCCGAAACCGGGUGAUCUAGCCAUGGGCAGGUUGAAGGUUGAGUAACAUCAACUGGAGGACCGAACCGACUAAUGUUGAAAAAUUAGCGGAUGACUUGUGGCUAGGGGUGAAAGGCCAAUCAAACUCGGAGAUAGCUGGUUCUCCCCGAAAGCUAUUUAGGUAGCGCCUCGGACGAAUACUACUGGGGGUAGAGCACUGUUAAGGCUAGGGGGUCAUCCCGACUUACCAACCCUUUGCAAACUCCGAAUACCAGUAAGUACUAUCCGGGAGACACACGGCGGGUGCUAACGUCCGUCGUGGAGAGGGAAACAACCCAGACCGCCAGCUAAGGUCCCAAAGUAUUGCUAAGUGGGAAACGAUGUGGGAAGGCUCAGACAGCUAGGAUGUUGGCUUAGAAGCAGCCAUCAUUUAAAGAAAGCGUAAUAGCUCACUAGUCGAGUCGGCCUGCGCGGAAGAUGUAACGGGGCUAAGCAAUACACCGAAGCUGCGGCAAUGUCUUUUAGACAUUGGGUAGGGGAGC
rnacentral:rRNA from 1 species